GUGACCGUAGUUCAGCUGGUAGAACGCCUCGUUGUGGUCGAGGAGGUCGCGGGUUCGAGCCCCGUCGGUCACCCCA
rnacentral:tRNA from 1 species